CUCAUUUUUUGGUCUUUUGGCUAAGAUCAAGUGUAAUAUUUGUUUCACCAGUUCAAUAUCUGGUAUAUGAACAAUAUGUUCACUUUGACAUUAAAUUAAUUUAUUAUAGGUACUUUUAUGUGGAGGGACAUUAAGACUCUCA
rnacentral:snRNA from 1 species